GGCAGCUUGGCCGAGUGGUUUAAGGCGCUGAUCUUGUAAUCCAGAGUCUUGAGUUCAAACCCUCCAUCUUGCCA